AUUGAACGCUGGCGGCAGGCUUAACACAUGCAAGUCGAGCGGGGAAAGGUAGCUUGCUACCUGACCUAGCGGCGGACGGGUGAGUAAUGCUUAGGAAUCUGCCUAUUAGUGGGGGACAACAUUCCGAAAGGAAUGCUAAUACCGCAUACGCCCUACGGGGGAAAGCAGGGGAUCUUCGGACCUUGCGCUAAUAGAUGAGCCUAAGUCAGAUUAGCUAGUUGGUGGGGUAAAGGCCUACCAAGGCGACGAUCUGUAGCGGGUCUGAGAGGAUGAUCCGCCACACUGGGACUGAGACACGGCCCAGACUCCUACGGGAGGCAGCAGUGGGGAAUAUUGGACAAUGGGCGAAAGCCUGAUCCAGCCAUGCCGCGUGUGUGAAGAAGGCCUUUUGGUUGUAAAGCACUUUAAGCGAGGAGGAGGCUACUUGGAUUAAUACUCUAGGAUAGUGGACGUUACUCGCAGAAUAAGCACCGGCUAACUCUGUGCCAGCAGCCGCGGUAACAC
rnacentral:rRNA from 1 species